AAAAAAACUAUAGUACAUCUAUAGUUGAAAUGACCAAAAAGCAGAGCAGUGGCAGACCAGCUGCGAUGUGCUUCAGAGCAGCAGAGCUGCCUGACUGCAGUCAGAGCACUGACGCUUCCAUGGUAUUAUGGUAAAGAAGCGCAGAAUUCUUCCCUAAGACAACUAAGCACUUUUCUUCAUUUCACACACACACAAGAAUACUGUUCUAGUCUGCUUGACAUUUGGCACAGAAGUCUUUUUCCCCGUUAAGAAUCCGUGUCUUGUUGCGUGUCGGAGCUUGCAGUCCUGAGGAAACAUGGCGCAGUGCGGUGCUUCACUGAUCCAACUCUGGCCUGAAUGACUAAGCCUCGCAAUCAUCAUUAUCCUCUAAUCUCCAAGUUUCCAAAUUUCACUCACAGUGGCCUCACUGUGAACCCCGAAACUGACAAAUGAUGAGGCGAGAGUGUGAGAAAGCGCUUCAUCAGACACGCUGACGGACGUGGGCAGGAUUAAGGAGCAGCAGCAGCAGAAGAAAGUUUGCUUGCAAACAACUGUCGUUUA